rnacentral:rRNA from 1 species
UACAGGGGGGGCAAGCGUUGUUCGGAAUUACUGGGCGUAAAGGGUUUGUAGGUGGCCACUUAAGUCAGACGUGAAAUCCCUCAGCUUAACUGGGGAACUGCGUCUGAUACUGAGUGGCUUGAGUGCAGGAGAGGAACGCGGAAUUCCAGGUGUAGCGGUGAAAUGCGUAGAUAUCAGGAGGAACACCGAUGGCGAAGGCAGGUCUCUGGGCCACUACUGACGCUGAGGUGCGAAAGCGUGGGGAGCAAACAGG